UACUUAGAGCAGGCGCAUUAGAGGAUGUAAUGGGGUUCAUGGGCUCAAGUUCCUAGGCCAGAAUUGAUUUAAAAAAAUAAAAAAUGAUUUUAAGUCAUUGAACCGAUCCUUAGUAGUGAACUUGUAUGAAGCGGUUCAGACCACGUGUCAAUCAGUCACUGUCUUUUCUUUCCUUCUCCACAUCUUCUCCUCGUCUCUUACAGAAGCUGGAGUUCGGUAAUAAGUCUAGCUUUAGCUUCCUCCACUCUCUCUCCAUCUCCUUCCAUUGUUCGUCCUCUUCUCUCCUCUUUCCUCAUUUCAUCAGAUUCAAUUCUUUUCCCUUUCAUCUCAAUUCUUCUCUGUUUUUUAUUUCUCUUUUGUAACAAUCAGAGGAGAAUGGUGGUGGUCUGAUAAAUUGGACCUUAUUCCUUGUGUAUGUUUACUGAAAUCAAUAUAUCUUGCGAUUAUAGAGCUCUAAUCUCCAUUUUUUUCUUAUGAGCUUCAUGUUCAAGUCAAGUAUCAUUAUGCUUUUAUAUUUGCCGUUUCGGGGAUAAAGGAGGAGACUUUUAAUCCUCUUCUCUAAUCAUGGCGUCAACAUAUUGAUUACUCUUCCUGGACUGUCCUUUUGCUUUUUGAUUCCUUUGGUUAUGUUUUGAUGAUAGAGACAUUUUUUUUUACUUACAAUGAGUACACCAAGAAACGGCUUUUCCAAGCAUCAGAGAGCUGAGAAAGUCUGUGGUCAGAGAGGGCCUAAUUGGAUCCUAAUCGCAGGUGGAGCCUUGUUGAGCACUCUGUCCAUUCGCUUUGGCUACAAGCUUAAGCAGUCGCCUCUUUUCAAACCUCCUCAUCAGUCUAAUGCCUCUCCUGGAUUUAAAGCCAAUGGAACAUCUGAGAGGCAAAGAUGUUGUUGUUUGCACUCCUCCACCACGUCUUCCUGUGCAAAGAAUAAUGGUUAUUCCUGCUUCCGCUCCGUUCCAGGUCUGUCUUGGAACCAUUGCUCAGAGGUUUCAUUUUGUAUUCAUGAUUGCUGUUUGUUGUAAUUGUAGAUGCUUUAGCUGUUAACUCUGAUGGUCGUUACUUGACGACUAGAGGAGUUGAUCGCCAUGUUCAUAAGGUCCAAUUUGUCUCAGCUUUUAUGAUUAUGUGUCUACAGGCCUUUACAGGUCACAGGAACAUCUGCCUCUGACUCUUUGCGUUCUAUAUAAUAUAUAUUCUGUAGUUUGUGUAUUGUGUUACAGGAAGGUAGACAAGGCAGAGAAGCUUGAUGGAGGAGAAGGUGGCAAAAGGAGUGAGUCAUUAGUGGCGAGGGCAUUAGGUGUUUAGAGUGGAGAAGGUCCAAGCUCCGGUAUGUGACUAGAAGACGGUGACGUUGGAGAUAGAACUUUGGCUUUAGAAUUUUAGGUGUAGGUUUAAUCUAUUCUAUUAAAACAGCAGUGUGACCAAUUGAUAAAAGUAGGAUCCAAUUAAAAAAACUGAUAUUUAUAUAACUGCAAUUAAUUAUAUCAAAGCACUAACACCUUAUAAUUUUAUCUACCAAAGACAGUUAUCACUUUUUCUGUGAAAGUGCUUUUACGAUGAUGACGUAAGCUUCUGAAAUAAAACUGUCCUAAUUCUUCUGAAUAUAACUGCAAUAAUUGACGUGUACAAUGUACUCCACUAUAAUUUCUAUUUUUUGAAUAUUAUUUUUUGGUUUACUUUUAUUUGUCUUGCACCAUAUGCAUUCUCUUUUUUCUUUCACCAUAUGGGCCAUUAAUCAAAAAUUUGUUGGCAAAAAUGAUAUUUAAAAAAACAAUUAAUUUUAUAUUUGUGUAUUUUUUGUAAUCAUAUUUGUGUAUAAAUUUUAAUCAAAAUAUAUUUUAUAAAAUAAUAGAAAUUUAAAAGUUGAUCCAACAUAUGUUCGGUUCUUUGUAAUUAUAUGUUUGUGUACCCGUUUCUUUGUAAUCAUAUUAUAUGUUCUAGAUUUUGACCCGCGGAUCUAAUGGUGGUUUGUAAUUUUUUUUUUAUGUUUCUAUAAAUAUGUAACAUUUAUUGAUAAUUUCCUUUAAAUAAAUUAGAUAUAAUUGUAUAAAGAGAAUAAUAAGAAGGUUCUUAAAUAAAAUGAAUACAUAGUUAGAUAUAAAUUAAAUUUCUAGAAACAUAUAUAUAGAAACAUAGAAAACAAAAAAAAAUACAAACCAACGUUAUACAUACGGGUCAAAAUCCAGAACAUACAAUAUAAUUACAAAGAACCGAAUGUAUGUUGGAUCAACUUUUAAAUUACUAUUAUUUGAUAAAAUAAAUUAUGAUUAAAAUUUAUACACAUAUAUAAUUACAAAAAAUACAGAAAUAUAAAAAUUAAAUUUAAAAAAAAAAGUUAAAAUAAAAUAUAUACCCGCCCUUUAAAGGGCGGGUCAAAAUCUAGUCUAUUCUAUUAAAACAGCAGUGUGACCAAUUGAUAAAAGUAGGAUCCAAUUAAAAAAACUGAUAUUUAUAUAACUGCAAUUAAUUAUAUCAAAGCACUAACACCUUAUAAUUUUAUCUACCAAAGACAGUUAUCACUUUUUCUGUGAAAGUGCUUUUACGAUGAUGACGUAAGCUUCUGAAAUAAAACUGUCCUAAUUCUUCUGAAUAUAACUGCAAUAAUUGACGUGUACAAUGUACUCCACUAUAAUUUCUAUUUUUUGAAUAUUAUUUUUUGGUUUACUUUUAUUUGUCUUGCACCAUAUGCAUUCUCUUUUUUCUUUCACCAUAUGGGCCAUUAAUCAAAAAUUUGUUGGCAAAAAUGAUAUUUAAAAAAACAAUUAAUUUUAUAUUUGUGUAUUUUUUGUAAUCAUAUUUGUGUAUAAAUUUUAAUCAAAAUAUAUUUUAUAAAAUAAUAGAAAUUUAAAAGUUGAUCCAACAUAUGUUCGGUUCUUUGUAAUUAUAUGUUUGUGUACCCGUUUCUUUGUAAUCAUAUUAUAUGUUCUAGAUUUUGACCCGCGGAUCUAAUGGUGGUUUGUAAUUUUUUUUUAUGUUUCUAUAAAUAUGUAACAUUUAUUGAUAAUUUCCUUUAAAUAAAUUAGAUAUAAUUGUAUAAAGAGAAUAAUAAGAAGGUUCUUAAAUAAAAUGAAUACAUAGUUAGAUAUAAAUUAAAUUUCUAGAAACAUAUAUAUAGAAACAUAGAAAACAAAAAAAAAUACAAACCAACGUUAUACAUACGGGUCAAAAUCCAGAACAUACAAUAUAAUUACAAAGAACCGAAUGUAUGUUGGAUCAACUUUUAAAUUACUAUUAUUUGAUAAAAUAAAUUAUGAUUAAAAUUUAUACACAUAUAUAAUUACAAAAAAUACAGAAAUAUAAAAAUUAAAUUUAAAAAAAAAAGUUAAAAUAAAAUAUAUACCCGCCCUUUAAAGGGCGGGUCAAAAUCUAGUUGUUUUUUAAAAAAUUAGUUAAGUUUGAUAUACCUGUCAUAACUAUGUAACCAAUUUCAAUAUAUAAAAAAUUUAAUAUAAAUUUGUAUUUUUAUAUUUUAUAUUUUUUUUUAAUUUUUAAUAAUGCCAAUUAUUGUAUGAAUAAUCUUUGUAUGUUUUUGAAUUCUCAAUGUAUUGAAUAAAAUUUUAAUGUCAUUUUUGUGUUAUCUAUUCUUAAUGUAUUGAAUAAUUUUUUAAAAAAAUUAUAAAAGAUUAUUAUAUUUUAUUCAUGUAUUGUUAAUUAAUUGAAAGUUUAAAAAAAUAUAAAUAAUAAUGUUUUAUUUCUAUGAACUCCUUCUUGAGAUUCACUAAUGCAAGAACACAAUAAAUAGAGGUUCAACACUAUUUAUGGUUCCACCAAAAAAUAUUAAAAAAUUCUUAUGAACCCUAAGAGGGGGUUCACUAAUUCUGAUGCUCUUAUGGUUUUCCUUUUUUCCAUGUAAGGGACCAUAUACACGUUUCUAUUUUCUGGUGUCCAAUUCAAAUACUUUGAGUUUAGUAAUUAUUGUGUUUGUUUUUAACAUAUCAGUUUAACAGAGUAUGUGGUUUUGCUUGCAAGAAACUGGUUUUGUAUCCAAAGUAAACAAGAGCAAGUAUAUGAUGUCUCUGUUUACUUGGCUCUGGCGCACUCUAGCUCAUUAGGACCAGGGUGGGACCGUGGGAGCACAAGACCCAUGUAUGCUAAGGUUUCGGCAAGAUAAUAGACAACUUUGUCUACCUAUUUCAACCACAUUUUUCUCUAUAUGAAAUAUCAAAUCGUUUGGUUCUUGCACAAUCUCAAACUGUAUUCCUUCUUGCUUUUUUUCUUUUUUGCAUUUAAAUAGAGCUUUAUGAGCUAUUUUCCUUUUCAAUAAAGCUCUUAUUAGCUCAAUCUAUCUUGCUAGGCAUUUACUCACAGUUUGCACUAUACCCGUCUAUACUUGCUGGAUCAAAACAUAAAUAGUUAUUCUCAUCUCCAAAUUUUCAGCCAAAGUCAAACUUGGUGUUAUCUGUCUUUGAUUCACGCAAAUUGCAUUCCAAGUGUAUGUAAGACUCCUCAAAAAAAAAAUUGCAAAAGCCAAAAUCUUUGACAAUUGAUACUGUAAACAAAGGAUAGUAGUAUUGAAUAUAUUCUUUAACAAAAUUAUCUGCUCAAUACAAACAAGAAAUACAAAAUAUGAUUUUCAACUUUUCUCACCACAACAAUAACGUAAUAGUAAUAAGACUAAUAAUAUAUAUUCCCAGUUUCUCAGAUUUUUUUUCUUGCAAGAAAAAUAAUAAACACAACUCAAGAGUUGAACUAUAUGAAACCAAAAAUACAGAGAAG